AAUCCGAUGAUCCCCGUCAUAUCUUACUGAGUCUUGAAAAAGUGCAGCUGGUGUAUUGCCGUUGUCAGCCUGUUGUUCGAGCAAAGAGAAACAGGCUUAAUGGAUCCCGGUGAUAAUCUUCACGGGAAUCCAUGAAUUCAGGUCGUAAUACUGCCUAUGGCUCAAGGGAGCGGGUGUUACAAUUCAUAUUUGGAAUUACGGAUCCUCAUUGUGGAAUCUUGGGGUGAAGGUGAACUUAGGAGUAAGGAGAGAUUAAUGUGCUUUCCUGAACAUGAAUCUAACUCGUGUACAAACUGCCCG
rnacentral:rRNA from 1 species